AUUGAACGCUGGCGGCAUGCCUUACACAUGCAAGUCGAACGGCAGCACGGGAGCAAUCCUGGUGGCGAGUGGCGAACGGGUGAGUAAUAUAUCGGAACGUGCCCAGUCGUGGGGGAUAACGUAGCGAAAGCUACGCUAAUACCGCAUACGAUCUAUGGAUGAAAGCGGGGGAUCGCAAGACCUCGCGCGAUUGGAGCGGCCGAUAUCAGAUUAGGUAGUUGGUGGGGUAAAAGCCUACCAAGCCUUCGAUCUGUAGCUGGUCUGAGAGGACGACCAGCCACACUGGAACUGAGACACGGUCCAGACUCCUACGGGAGGCAGCAGUGGGGAAUUUUGGACAAUGGGCGGCAAGCCUGAUCCAGCAAUGCCGCGUGCAGGAUGAAGGCCUCGGUU
rnacentral:rRNA from 1 species